CUUAUCAGCAUCUCAGGCUGCAAGGAAGCAUUAAGGAAAGGACAAUGAAGACUUUUGACCCGAUCAUUCCCACAGACAGGGAAGAAGAAACUUCUCACACCAGUUAAUUCCAGAUGGAUUUUGAUUCUGACAAAAUGUGUUACAGUCACUGAAGGGUCAAGCUAUAAUAA
rnacentral:lncRNA from 11 species